AGUGAACGCUGGCGGCAGGCCUAAUACAUGCAAGUCGAACGGCAGCACAGUGGAGCUUGCUCCAUGGGUGGCGAGUGGCGGACGGGUGAGGAAUACAUGGGAAUCUGCCCAGUCGUGGGGGAUAACGUAUGGAAACGUACGCUAAUACCGCAUGCGCCCUAAGGGGAAAGCCGGGGACCGCAAGGCCUGGCGCGAUUGGAUGAGCCCAUGUUCGAUUAGCUAGUUGGCGGGGUAAAGGCCCACCAAGGCGACGAUCGAUAGCUGGUCUGAGAGGAUGAUCAGCCACACUGGAACUGAGACACGGUCCAGACUCCUACGGGAGGCAGCAGUAGGGAAUAUUGGACAAUGGGGGCGAACCCUGAUCCAGCCAUGCCGCGUGAGUGAAGAAGGCCCUCGGGUUGUAAAGCUCUUUUGUCCGGAAAGAAAAGCAAUCGGUUAAUACCCGGUUGUUCUGACGGUACCGGAAGAAUAAGCACCGGCUAACUUCGUGCCAGCAGCCG
rnacentral:rRNA from 1 species